rnacentral:rRNA from 1 species
GACGAACGCUGGCGGCGUGCUUAACACAUGCAAGUCGAACGGAAAGGCCCUGCUUUUGUGGGGUGCUCGAGUGGCGAACGGGUUAGUAACACGUGAGUAACCUGCCCUUGACUUUGGGAUAACUUCAGGAAACUGGGGCUAAUACCGGAUAGGAGCUCCUGCUGCAUGGUGGGGGUUGGAAAGUUUCGACGGUUGGGGGUGGACUCGCGGCUUAUCAGCUUGUUGGUGGGGUAGUGGCUUACCAAGGCUUUGACGGGUAGCCGGCCUGAGAGGGUGACCGGCCACAUUGGGACUGAGAUACGGCCCAGACUCCUACGGGAGGCAGCAGUGGGGAAUAUUGCACAAUGGGCGGAAGCCUGAUGCAGCAACGCCGCGUGCGGGAUGACGGCCUUCGGGUUGUAAACCGCUUUCGCCUGUGACGAAGCGUGAGUGACGGUAAUGGGUAAAGAAGCACCGGCUAACUACGUG